rnacentral:rRNA from 1 species
UACGUAGGGGGCAAGCGUUAUCCGGAUUUACUGGGUGUAAAGGGAGCGUGGACGGCGAUGCAAGUCUGAAGUGAAAGGCGGGGGCCCAACCCCCGGACUGCUUUGGAAACUGUAUGGCUGGAGUGCAGGAGAGGUAAGUGGAAUUCCUAGUGUAGCGGUGAAAUGCGUAGAUAUUAGGAGGAACACCAGUGGCGAAGGCGGCUUACUAGACUGUAACUGACGUUGAGGCUCGAAAGCGUGGGGAGCAAACAGG